UGUGUGUGUGUGUGUGUGUGUGUGUGUGUGUGUGUGUGUGUGUGUGGAAUCACUGGAGUGGAACAGAGGUUUUUGUACGACGGCUUCAUUGGAAUGUAUCACUGUGCUACACUUUUGGUGGAGGAACCAAACUCAGCGUCACCGGUCCCACAGUGAAGCCGUCCGUGUCUCUGCUCCCUCCCUCCUCUCUGCAGCUGUCUGAGGGAUCGGCCUCGCUGCUCUGCCUGCUGUUUGGUUACUCUCCACAGGGGGCGCUGGUGAGCUGGACGGUGGACGGCACAGUGCUGCAGGACGGGGUGGUGACCGGAGUAGAAGAACUGAAAGGGAGCAGUUGGAGGCGUGGCAGCACCCUGACACUCAGCAAAGCACAGUGGGAAAAGGGGGAGGAGUUUGGCUGUAAGGUCUCUCACGGUGGCGUCGAUCAUCCCGUCGUAUUCAGAAAGAACCAGUGUGAAGGCUAGCAGCUCCCAGAUAGAACUGAACAUGGAGACACUUCCACAUGCUUCUACAAUGGAGUUUCAGUUCUACACAAUGCUGCAUUUCUGUCUUUCCUCUGUUCAGUGUCCUGUUGCUCUUCCUGUAGUUCUGCUGUGCUGAAAUAAAGCUUGAUUUUGGACAUUG